rnacentral:rRNA from 1 species
GACGAACGCUGGCGGCGUGCCUAAUACAUGCAAGUCGAACGAACCGCGACUGAGUGCUUGCACUUGGUCAAGGUGAGUGGCGAACGGGUGAGUAACACGUGGGUAACCUACCUCAUAGUGGGGGAUAACAGUCGGAAACGACUGCUAAUACCGCAUAGGACAUGGAAUCACAUGAUUCUGUGAGGAAAGGUGGCGCAAGCUAUCGCUAAGAGAUGGACCCGCGGUGCAUUAGCUAGUUGGUAGGGUAAGGGCCUACCAAGGCGAUGAUGCAUAGCCGACCUGAGAGGGUGAUCGGCCACAUUGGGACUGAGACACGGCCCAAACUCCUACGGGAGGCAGCAGUAGGGAAUCUUCCGCAAUGGACGCAAGUCUGACGGAGCAACGCCGCGUGAGUGAAGAAGGUCUUCGGAUCGUAAAGCUCUGUUGUUAGAGAAGAACAGCGCAUAGAGUAACUGUUAUGCGUGUGACGGUAUCUAACCAGAAAGCCACGGCUAACUACG